CAUGUCUUUUUGAUUAUAAUUUAAAGUCUAAUCUGCUCAAUGAAUUUUUAAAUAGCUGCAGUAUCCUGACUGUACAAAGGUAGCAUAAUCAUUUGCUUUUUAAAUGGAAGCUGGAAUGAAUGAUUGGACGAGAAAAUAGCUGUCUCAUUAAUAUUUAUAUGAAUUUUACUUUUUAGUUCAAAGGCUAAAAUAAAAUUUUUAGACGAGAAGACCCUAUAGAGCUUUAUAUAAAUCUAAUAAUAUAAUGUUUAGAAUUUAAAAUGUUUUUGUUAUUUUUGUAUUUAAUUGGGGUGAUUUAAAAAUUUAUUAAACUUUUUAUUUUAUUAAAUUAUUUAUAUAUAAAUAUAAAAUCUAGAUUUUCUAAGAUAAAAAUAAGUUACCUUAGGGAUAACAGCGUUAUUUAAUUUUUGAGUUCUUAUUGAAAAUUAAAUUUGCGACCUCGAUGUUGGAUUAAAAUUUAUAUUAGAUGUAGAAGUCUAGAUAUUGAGUCUGUUCGACUUUUAAAAUUUUACAUGAUCUGAGU
rnacentral:rRNA from 1 species